GAUGAAUGCUGGCGGCGUGCUUAACACAUGCAAGUCGAGCGGAAAGGCCCUUCGGGGUACUCGAGCGGCGGACGGCUGAGUAACGCGUGGGAACAUGCCCCAAAGUGAGGAAUAACUGCCCGAAAGGGUGGCUAAUGCCGCAUAUGAUCCUCGGAUUAAAGGAUUUAUCCGAUUUGGGAGUGGCCUGCGUAUGAUUAGGUAGUUGGUGAGGUAAUGGCUCACCAAGCCGACGAUCAUUAGCUGGUCUGAGAGGAUGACCAGCCAGACUGGAACUGGGACACGGUCCAGACUCCUACGGGAGGCAGCAGUGAGGAAUAUUCCACAAUGGGCGAAAGCCUGAUGGAGCAACGCCGCGUGAAGGAUGAAGGCCCUCGGGUUGUAAACUUCUUUUAUAAGUGAAGAAUAUGACGGUAACUUAUGAAUAAGCACCGGCUAACUACGUGCCAGCAGCCGCCGUA
rnacentral:rRNA from 1 species